AGCACAGUCAGAGACCGGAACCGGACAAGUCUGGAGAAGUUCGCUUACACACUAAUUUUCAACGUAGCUGUUAGGGUUGUUGCUUUAACAUUGUUUAUUACGUUAUUUAAUUGGAAAGUGAGGACCGAGCUUUCAGAAUAAUCGAUCAAUUGGAUCCGUUUUUAACAGCUCCGUAUGAAAUGGAAGGGAAGAAACACAUCCACACAUAUGUUCGCAUAGGAUGCACGGGAUUUCACCGAAGGUCGCAUUUGGGACAAGGGAAGCCGACUAGGCUUAGUGUGGUGUCACCGAUGGCAAUGUUGGUGGGAGGAAAAAAAUAACAUUUCGGCAAUUGAUGGAGGUGUUCAGCAAUUCGAGAGAUCGUGCUCACCGCAAGCCAUGAAAAAUAGACUACGUUGUGAAGCGAUGGUCACUAUUUAUUAAAAAAUCACGGU